GCCCUGCACCUAGCCCAUUCCCUCACUCAUAACUACACCAUAAUUUUCUCCCCUCAACAAAACAUUUUUUUUCUUUAGUAGAGGCGAUCAAAAAACUUCUUGGAGCUAUAUCUUUAGUACCGCAAGGGAAAGAUGAAAUAAAAAUGAAAAAUUUCACAAGCCCAAAAAAGUAGAGCUUAACUCUUGUACCUUUUGCAUCAUGGUUUAACUAGUCUUACCAAGCAAAAAGAUUUUUAGUUUGAACUCCCGAAUCUAGGCGAGCUACUUUAGGACAGUUUAAUGAACGAACCCGUCUCUGUUGCAAAAGAGUGGGAAGAUCCUAAAAUAGAAGUGACAGACCUAACGAGCCUAGUGAUAGCUGGUUGCUCCAGAAAAGGAUUUUAGUCCUGCUUAAACCUUAAUGAUUAUUACAAAAAUCUGUUUAAAGUCACUCAAAUAAGGUACAGCCUAUUUGAACAAGGAUACAACCUUAAUUACUGGGCCUCACACUUAACUAAUGAUAUAGUAGGCCUGAAAGCAGCCAUCUAAAACAAGAGCGUCAAAGCUUAUUCAUUAACCUAGUCAAUUCCAAAAUUUAUAAUUAUCCCUUACCUCCCCAUAGAGCAACUCUAUAUUUAUAUAGAAAAUUUUAUGUUAAAACUAGUAAUAAGAAGCAAACCCUUCUCUUUUAACGCAAGUUUACAUCAGCUUGGACACUCCACUGAUAAUCAACGCCCUUGAUAAUGAAGAAGAAACAAAACAAGAAAAAUCUUCUACCUAUAAACGUCAACCUAACACCAGAGCGUUUCAAGAAAGAUUUAAAGAAAAAGAAGGAACUCGGCAAACAUUAGUCCCGCCUGUUUACCAAAAACAUCGCCUCUUGUAAAACAAAUAAGAGGUCCAGCCUGCCCAGUGACUCUGUUCAACGGCCGCGGUAUCCUAACCGUGCGAAGGUAGCGUAAUCACUUGUUCUUUAAUUGAGGACUUGUAUGAAUGGCCCCACGAGGACUACACUGUCUCCUUUCUCUAAUCAAUGAAACUAAUCUCUCCGUGAAGAAGCGGGGAUGAACCUAUAAGACGAGAAGACCCUAUGGAGCUUUAAACAACAGGAGUAUCUGCUUAUCCUUUUCCACUUUCUGAAAUCUAAACUAAUUCAAGCAUCUUACCUCCAAGUUUUAGGUUGGGGUGACCACGGAGAAUAAACUAACCUCCAUGUUGAAAUGAAGCCUAAACCCCUCUAAGCAAAAAGCCACAACUUUAUGCAUCAACACAUUGACCUCCAUUGACCCAAUAAUUUGACCAACGAACCAAGUUACCCUAGGGAUAACAGCGCAAUCUACUUCGAGAGCUCAUAUCGACAAGUAGGUUUACGACCUCGAUGUUGGAUCAGGGUAUCCUAGUGGUGCAGCCGCUACUAAUGGUUCGUUGUCAAC
rnacentral:rRNA from 1 species